rnacentral:rRNA from 1 species
CAGCAGCCGCGGGAAUACAGAGGGUGCAAGCGUUAAUCGGAAUUACUGGGCGUAAAGCGUGCGUAGGCGGCUUCUUAAGUCGGAUGUGAAAUCCCUGAGCUUAACUUAGGAAUUGCAUUCGAUACUGGGAAGCUAGAGUAUGGGAGAGGAUGGUAGAAUUCCAGGUGUAGCGGUGAAAUGCGUAGAGAUCUGGAGGAAUACCGAUGGCGAAGGCAGCCAUCUGGCCUAAUACUGACGCUGAGGUACGAAAGCAUGGGGAGCAAACAGGAUUAGAUACCCCCGUAGUCCCUGUCUCUUAUAC